CAUGAACUGCAGCCUUAUGUGACCUCUCUAGGUGCCUAAGUUUGACAGGGAGUGUGAGGAGGGUUUCAACAGGGCAGCCCUGGAUAACCCAAGCCAGGCAGAUACAAAGGAGCAUCUGCCCCAGAUGAAAAUCUCAGAAGCUGUGGGGAGGGAUAGCUGCCCGGAAGCCCGCCUCCCACCCCUUGCUCAGCACAGCUAGCUUCCCCCGCCCUGCAGGAAGCUGGACAGGAUGGGGGAAAGCCUGAGUUAGCCAAGCUAGUCCUGGAGUACAGGGUGCCUAUGGGAGCCUACAGGACGAUGACAUCAGAACAGUGAUAUCACAGUAAAAACUUCCAAAAACGGUGAGGAGGAGUAAAAGCCCUGCUUUCUCACCCCAGGAAACCAGCACCCUGAGAAGGGAGAUGCUUGGUCCUGACCUGCCUGACUCUGCCUGGAACACCAGGCUCCUCUGCCAUGUCAUGCUUUGUCUCCUGGGAGCAGGUUCAGUGGCUGCUGGAGUCAUCCAGGCCCCAAGGCAUCUGAUCAAAGUAAAGAGGGAAACAGCCACUCUGCAAUGCUAUCCUAUCCCUGAACACGACACUGUCUACUGGUACCAGCAGGGUCCAGGUCAGGGCCCUCAGUUCCUCAUUUCGUUUUAUGAAAAGAUGCAGAGAGAUAAAGGAAGCAUCCCUGAUCGAUUCUCAGCUCAACAGUUCAGUGACUAUCAUUCUGAACUGAACAUGAGAUCCUUGGAGCUGGAGGACUCAGCCCUGUACCUCUGUGCCAGCAGCUUAGGCACAGCCCUGCAGAAUUACUGGCUUUCUGUACCCAAACCCUCCUGUCUCAGUUGGGGCUGUAACAGGGAGAAGGAGGUGGGGGCUGCCACACAGCUUUAGCCAAGCCCCAGAGAUGCUUCUAGUUCUUUUCUAACAUUUUCCCCUGUCCUGCUGAGCUCAGU